rnacentral:rRNA from 1 species
AUUGAACGCUGGCGGCAGGCCUAACACAUGCAAGUCGAACGAGUGGCGGACGGGUGAGUAAUGUCUGGGAAACUGCCUGAUGGAGGGGGAUAACUACUGGAAACGGUAGCUAAUACCGCAUACCAUCGGAUGUGCCCAGAUGGGAUUAGCUAGUAGGGGGGGUAAAGGCUCACCUAGGCGACGAUCCCUGGCUGGUCUGAGAGGAUGACCAGCAACACGGGAACUGAGACACGGCCCAAACGCCAACGGGAGGAAGCAGUGGGGAAUAUUGCAAAAUGGGCGCAAGCCGGAUGCAGCCAUGCCGCGGUUAUGAAGAAGGCCUUCGGGUUGUAAAGUACUUUCAGCGGGGAGGCGUUACCCGAAGAAGAAGCACCGGCUAACUCCGUGCCAGCAGCCGCGGUAAUAC